UAUUUUAUUUUAGCAUUCGCGUCGGUCCGUCGCACGCGGCGGACGUGUGUCGCGUUUUUGUUUAUUCCACCCGCUAUCGUUACUGCCGCCAUAAUCCAACCGUGAAUUUGUUUUUGGUAUACCGUAAUAUUGUCGGUCACAUCGGUGUUAGUUUAUGACUAUACAUUCCCGAGAGAAGUGUAACAGUGUUAUUAAAUACGUUUAAUACAUCCGUUCGAGUGAAAUGACACUUUGAUCAACAACGAUAUAAUGUUCAGUUAUUUAAAUUUUAAUGUUGGUGAAAUACAACACUAACUUAGUCGGUGAAUUGGACUGAAAAGCUGCACGAUGUACUCGACAUCCACGGCGUCAACGACUACGUCGGGGUCGCGCGGCGAGUCCGCGGUGGGCCCGGUGGAGCGACGCGUACGCGUCGUGCGUUUACUGCGGCCGCGCCGUGCCGCACCCGCGUUCGGCUUCGCUAUGCGCGGCGGCCGCGAGUAUGCCACCGGAUUCUUCGUAUCAAAAGUCGACAUCAACUCCGAGGCACAUCUACAAGGAUUAAAGGUGGGCGAUCAAAUAGUGAGUGUGAAUGGAUACCGAGUGGAGGACGCUGUGCACGCCGAGCUCGCGCAUUACCUUACCUCGCAGUCCCGACUCAAGAUAAAAGUGCGACACGUGGGCAUGAUUCCGGUCAAAGAGAAAGACCACGAGCCGCUGUCUUGGCAGUUUGUGUCGGAGCGCGCGUCGCUGUCGUCAGCCGCGUCUUCAUCACCUACACUGUGCGAUCUCGCUGACCGCCUCACCGAUAUGCGCCUCUCCAUACUGGUGCCGCCCCGCGCUAAGCUCGGCUGCGGAAUAUGUAAGGGCCCGGACUGGAAGCCUGGUAUCUUUGUGCAAUUUGUGAGGGAAGGUGGAAUAGCGCGGGAGGCCGGCUUGAGGCCCGGUGAUCAGAUUUUGUCCUGCAAUGGUCAAGAUUUUGCUAAUAUCUCCUUCAAUGAGGCGAUAUCAGCAAUGAAAGUGAGUGGUCGCCUUGAGCUUGUGAUCCGCGAGGGCGCGGGCACGGAGCUGGUGUCUCCGGAGAGCUCGGGUUACAACAGCUCGGCGUCCUCCGCUGCCGGAGAGCGCAGCCCCGCCCCCGCGCCCGCGCCUCUCCCUCUUGCCCUCGCCCCGCCCGCCGCGCUGCGUAGGAGGCUCGCCAGCGUUGCUGAGGAAGCCGCUGACAGAGCAGACAGAUUAACCAUGAACCGAAUCAAAAGAAGAACUUGGGACAGUCUGGAUUUCAAAUGGAAAAACGACGAUACGCACAACUUCGACGCACCUUCUGACAUAGAGCCUGACUAUGACAGUCCAAGUAAUCCGAACAAUCCGCAUACAUACGAAAAGAAAACAAACCUGCGAAAAAAUAAAACAGAAUUUGAACCAACGCGAGUAACAAGUCCAUUAAAUCGAACUAUAAUAAAUUUAACUGAAGAUGGCGCCACUAUUCAAUGUAGUUAUGAUAAUAACCAGACGCCGAGAAAGAAUGUGUUUACGAAUGAAACGAAUAGAGAUAAAGAAAAGAAGACGAUCGUGGUCGAGGUGCACCACGUGGCCCCGGCGGCGUGCGCCAACACGCAUUGCAAUUUCCCCCCACCGAUGAAAAAAGAUAUCAAUUCCGACACUUCAAGUAUAACAAGCACAGCGACCUUAUCUAGCGCUAUCGCCGAGGAAAUACAAAGGCGGAAAAUGAACAAGAAAACGCCUGUUGAAACCCCGCCUGUAUUAAACCCAGUUAAGAAACCAACUGCGCCGAAGCCCGUUGACGAUAAGAAAAAACAACAUGACGCGUUGAUGGACGAAUUUAAGAAAGUCCAUAGAAAAAUGUUUGCUAAUCAAGAUGAUGCGACGCUGACGGAAGAUUGUACAGAUGGCGUGGAUCGCCAACCAACACUGCAGAUAAAGAAAGAGAAACCUGAACCAGUUCCCCAAGAAUCACCUGUCAGCAAUGGGGUGAAGCAGCACAAAGACGUAGUAGACUGCCCGCCGCCUCCGCCUCCUAUGCCAAUAGCAAACGGUCAUCAAAACGGCGAGACUAAGAAAGUCGAAAUUCUAAAACCAAAAUCUGAAAAAGUUGAUCACAUUAUUAAUACAAAUGUAAAAAAGGUCGGUACCCUCAAACGCACGCCAACACCAGAUUAUAACAACAAAGCUGACACACAAUUGCAGUACAAUUUGAAGAACAUCAAAGAAGAAAAUGCCGAGAUAGAGUCACUCGAAUCAUAUAAAUUAAAGAACCCUCUAAAUGUACAGCCUAAACCACCACCUAAUUAUUUUGUUCGAGCACCCAAUGGAACGGCAACUAUGAAGAAAAUCGCAAGACCCGUUUCAGUUACGAUAGGGGAAUACGUUAACAAUGUUGGAAGAAGAGAACCUCUAAAACUUGAUUUUCUCAACGGUGACAAAGUAGACGGCCAUUUAAUCCCAGACGAUGAAUCUAUAUCAAGUAGACUGCAAUCAGAAUUAGCGCUUACAUUGUCUAGAUCCAAUUUACGUAAGAAGACUGAAGCCUUGGAUAAAAAUGUCAAAAUGUCUGUUAAUAAGGCCGUGCAUAAGAAAGAGAUUAUAUCUUUAGAUAAGAACUUUCAUGUAAGAUACGGCAAUAACAUCUUACCGCUGCCUCCGUCCAUCAGAAUACCUAAAGUCUCCAAAACUAAACAUUGAUUGAUUCGUGCUACAAUUCGUCCUGUUAUGCUUCUAGCUUCAUAACUUUACGGAUGUAAUGUAACAAAUGCAUAUAAAGUGAAGUUUUAAAGCGACUAUUAAUGAAAUGCGGACGCGGGGCGAUGACGUGUGUUUGCUUCAAAUAAAGUCGCAACUAUUUAUUAUUAGGCAAUUGUAGUGCUAGUAGCAUUGUAAUUUUUCUAAGGUAUUGUAUUUGCGUUUCUAUAAUUUAACGACACGUAUGAAUACAAAUAAAAAUAUAUAAAAUAAUAAGUCAUUAAAGACUUUAUAUAUUUUUUGAAGAAAGUUACAGUCUUAAAAAUUACCGCCCAUUACGUAUAAUGUACUUGAAAAUGUGGACUUCUUAAAUAAGAUCAUAACAGAUCAGAUUGAAAGUAUUAAUUAGAAAAAAAAUAAUUCAUCACCAUCACCUUUGCAAUAGGCUCUGCCUUACAUACACCUUUAUCAGCCGUCAUAUCUGAAUUCACUCCCUACCCGAGAAAGUAUGGAUGGAUAGUGUAAAAGGGGAUUAUGCGGAAAAUCCUCACUCAAUUCAUCAAUACUUUUUCGGUCUUGUUCUCCCUUUGUAGCCAUCAUCACCUUAAGUCUCCUGACUUGAAUGUGUCCAUCAACUGUCCGCAUAAUACAAAAUGAAAUACAGUUUAGAUAUAGAUAAAAGUAUAUGAAUAAAUAAAUGUAAAAUCAUUUGGUUAAAUUAAUAAAUUUCAACCAAAGUUAUUUGCUAGGUAUAUGUAAUAACAAGAAAUCAUCUUAUUUUUAGUUCAAUACUGAAUAUUUGAAUACGUUAAAAUAAUUAAAAUGUGAAGUAUAUAUUGCAGCAGAAACAUAAAAUAUUGCGUGAAACACCUAAGUCAUUAUAAUAAAAAAGUG